AGUUGAAAAGCCGGCAAAAGCUCAAAUUUGAAAUCUGGUACCUUCGGUGCCCGAGUUGUAAUUUGGAGAGGGCAACUUUGGGGCCGUUCCUUGUCUAUGUUCCUUGGAACAGGACGUCAUAGAGGGUGAGAAUCCCGUGUGGCGAGGAGUGCGGUUCUUUGUAAAGUGCCUUCGAAGAGUCGAGUUGUUUGGGAAUGCAGCUCUAAGUGGGUGGUAAAUUCCAUCUAAAGCUAAAUAUUGGCGAGAGACCGAUAGCGAACAAGUACAGUGAUGGAAAGAUGAAAAGAACUUUGAAAAGAGAGUGAAAAAGUACGUGAAAUUGUUGAAAGGGAAGGGCAUUUGAUCAGACAUGGUGUUUUGUGCCCUCUGCUCCUUGUGGGUAGGGGAAUCUCGCAUUUCACUGGGCCAGCAUCAGUUUUGGUGGCAGGAUAAAUCCAUAGGAAUGUAGCUUGCCUCGGUAAGUAUUAUAGCCUGUGGGAAUACUGCCAGCUGGGACUGAGGACUGCGACGUAAGUCAAGGAUGCUGGCAUAAUGGUUAUAUGCCGCCCGUCUUGAACC
rnacentral:rRNA from 1 species